AUGGAAGCUAUUGUUGACUACAACUGCGGUAUAUCUUAUACACCUGGCAAGGCUAAUGUAAUGGCCGAUGCCCUAAGCCGAAAGUCUUAUUGCAAUAAUCACCAGGUCUACAAAGCUCAACCCCGCCUUUAUGAAGAGCUAUGCAAGCUGAACCUUCAACUAAUUCCACAGGGUUCUCUGAAUAACCUUGUUUUGGAACCAACUCUUCUGAAAGCAAUCAAGUCUGCUCAAGCCAAAGAUGCUCAUGUUGAUCUGAUGAAAAAGGAUCUUACCUUAGAGAAAUCCAGAGAUUUCUCACUUGGUGAAGAUGGAACCUUAUACUUCAGAGAUCGCAUUGUCGUACCCCGGUUCGAGCUUAUGACAGAGAAGGUGAUGAAAGAAGCGCAUGACACCCCUCUCUCUAUUCAUCCGGGAAGUACCAAGAUGUAUCUUGACAUCCGUCAGAAGUACUGGUGGUCUAAAAUGAAGCAAGACAUUGCUCGAUAUAUCGAAGAAUGUGAUGUUUGCCGUCGCGUCAAAGCAGAACAUCAAAAACCGGCUGGACUUCUACAACCGCUUCCGAUUCCUGAAUGGAAGUGGGAUAAGAUCCAAAUGGACUUCGUCACUGGCCUUCCCAAGUCUUAG
rnacentral:rRNA from 1 species